rnacentral:rRNA from 1 species
CCUACGGGGGGCAGCAGUGAGGAAUAUUGGUAAAUGGGCACUAGCCUGAACCAGCCAAGUAGCGUGAAGGAUGACUGCCCUAUGGGUUGUAAACUUCUUUUAUAUGGGAAUCAAGUGCAGUAAGUAUCCUGCUUUGCCUUUACCUUAUGACUACGGAUCGGCUCACUCCGUUCCAGCAGCCGCGGUACUACGGAGGUUCCGAGCGUUAUCCGGAUUUAUGGGGUUUAAAGGGAUCGUAGGCGGGUUGUUAAGUCAGGUGUGAAGGUUUGCGGCUCAACCGUAAAAUUGCAGGUGAUACUGGCAGCCUUGAGUACAGUAGAGGUAGGCGGAAUUCGUGGUGUAGCGGUGAAAUGCUUAGAUAUCACGAAGAACUCCGAUGGCGAAGGCAGCCUGCUGGACUGUAACUGACGCUGAUGCUCGAAAGUGUGGGUAUCAAACAGGAUUAGAUACCCCAGUAGUC